CCCUCCCGCCCCCCGCGCCCGGGAGGAGGAUGCAGACGCCGCGGCCGGCGAUGAGGAUGGAGGCCGGGGAGGGAGCGCCGCCGGCGGGGGCGGGCGGCCGCGCCGCAGGCGGCUGGGGCAAGUGGGUGCGGCUCAACGUCGGGGGCACGGUGUUCCUGACCACCCGGCAGACGUUGUGCCGCGAGCAGAAGUCCUUCCUCAGCCGCCUGUGCCAGGGGGAAGAGCUGCAGUCGGACCGGGAUGAGACCGGGGCCUACCUCAUUGACCGUGACCCCACCUACUUCGGGCCCAUCCUGAACUUCCUCCGGCAUGGCAAGCUGGUGCUGGACAAGGACAUGGCUGAGGAGGGGGUCCUGGAGGAAGCCGAGUUCUACAACAUCGGCCCACUGAUCCGCAUCAUCAAAGACCGGAUGGAAGAGAAGGACUACACGGUGACCCAGGUCCCGCCUAAGCACGUGUACCGCGUGCUACAGUGCCAGGAGGAGGAGCUCACGCAGAUGGUCUCCACCAUGUCUGACGGCUGGCGCUUUGAGCAGCUGGUGAACAUCGGCUCCUCCUACAACUACGGCAGCGAGGACCAGGCAGAGUUCCUGUGUGUGGUGUCCAAGGAGCUCCACAGCUCCCCGAAUGGGCUGAGCUCAGAGUCCAGCCGCAAAACCAAGAGCACGGAGGAGCAGCUGGAGGAGCAGCAGCAGCAGGAGGAGGAGGUGGAGGAGGUGGAGGUGGAACAGGUGCAGGUGGAGGCAGAUGCACAGGAGAAAGCCCAGUCAUCUCAGGAUCCCGCUAACCUUUUCUCCCUCCCACCACUGCCUCCUCCUCCGCUUCCCGCUGGAGGUCCUGCCUCAUCUUCAUCCACCUCUUCUUCCUCCUGGAUCUCAUCUGCACCCUGCCUCUUCCCUCUCUGCCCCUGUCCGGGUUUUCUCUCUGCCUGCUCACGCCUCCAUCCCGGGUCUGCCCUGGUCCCAGCCUCCCGUGCCCUCCACCCAGGCCCCCUGGCCCUGCAUCCCAGAGCGUCCUGCCUGCCGCCUCCUGCGCCCCUUCUGGUACCUCCUGCCUCCCAGCCCGGGGAGGAGGGGCGCAGCUGCACCUCCUCUGUGCCCACCAACCCUGCCGGGCACCACUGAGGCUGGGCCCCGGCCGCAGGCCCUGCCCCGCCUCCUCUCCUCCCGGCCUCCUCCUCACGUUUCCUCCUUGCAGGUUCCCGUCCGCACUCUCUCAGACCUGAGGCUGAGCUUGCAGUGAGGGCUUCUCCUCGGCCCCUCGCCCGCCCCCAGAGCUGCCAUCCCUGCUGUUACAAGCCAGAGGCACCCGGAUGUGAGGCCCCAGAUCACCUCCAGGGACUUGGGGUUCCCAUCUGAAAUCCUUUAUUUUUGUACCAUGGGGUGGGCCCCGGGCCUGAGAAGGAAGAAGCCUCCUCUGUCUGCACCUGUGGGGCUGUGACUCACCCCUGCCUCCAGGGCCGGGGCGGGGCGGGGGCCCCCGGGACCUCUCAAGGCCCAAGGUGGGCCCCAGGAUCUCUGGGCAGAGCCGACUGCUCAUGGCGGACAUGUGGCAAUGUCUGGCUGUGUGUCUCCAGCCCCCGCGUCCCCUUUCCCGGGCUCCCCUGCUGCAUGGCGGAUGCACUCCUUCCUGGCCCAGUCACAUCGCCUCCUUGAGCCUUAGUCCAGGGGGUAACUCCUCCCACCCCACCUACCUCACAGGGUUGUUGUGAGGGUGCACAGAGGAGCAAGGUCCCUGAAGGCCCUCGGGCAGUAUAUAGGGGCCGCCCACCUUCAGCUGCCCUGGGAUGGGAAGGACCCAGCCCAACCCCUGGGCGUAACACUGUGUUUGCAAAUGGAGAUUCAGGUAUUGGGGAUGCAGGUUGUGGGGAGCUGGCCUGUCAGAGUAGGGGUAGGUGGCUUGGCCUUCACCUUGGUGAUCCCAUCCCCAGCCAUUUGCAUUGCUGGCCCAGCGCCUGGCCUGGGGGGCGGGGAGAGGCAGCAGAAGGGGCUGGGCAGGGGCGGUGGAGGACUCAGGAACUGCCCGGGGAGAGUGGGUGUGGCGGCUGAGCCAGCGGCCAUCCUGUGUUUGAAUGCCUGGAAUGGGUCCUUGCUUCUCGGCUAUGUCGGACCCCACCGUGUAAUAAAACCCGAAGGAACAGCCCA